GUUCUUGUAGUUAAAGUUUUUAACGAUGGUUUUUCAGGCCAUAGAUCUCGGGUAGGAGCCGAGCAAGAAUA
rnacentral:tRNA from 1 species